AAAGUACUCCCUCCGUCCCAAAAUUCUUGUCUUAGAGUUGUCUAGAUACAGAUGUAACAAGUCACAUUUUAGUAUUAGAUACAUCUGUAUCUAGACAAAUCUAAGACAAGAAAUUUGGGAUAGAGGGAGUAGUUG
rfam:Triticum aestivum genome assembly, contig: Triticum_aestivum_CS42_TGACv1_scaffold_569009_7AS